CUCCAAUGUAAGGGAUGCGUAGUGUUCCAAAUAUUGGUAUAGGAAGUAUUAGAAAAAUAAUGUGUGGCUUGCUUCAGCGAAGAUUGAAUGUCAUUUACAUUUUGGCUCAUUAGCAGCCAACCUUCAAGGGCAAGAGUCGAACCGAUUGAACAUCAGAUCAUAAUGAGAAUGAUGAAUUUCUUGGUGCAUUCUUUGUCUCUAUAUUUGUAUCUAAAAUUUGCUAGUGAGGAUACUUUAUCUAUUAGAAUGGCCUUCGAAGGUCCUCAAUUUGGUAGUGAUUGUCUGAUCCUACUUUAGAGAUCGAUGAGAUUGACAUUAGAAAUGUGUCGCAAAAGGCAAACCUAUAACCUCUAUACUUCAAUUACAUUGUCUCUUUUGAAAGCUAUGCAUGUCUGAUAGAAAUCUGAUUUCUUUUGCACAUCUGAAUUUGAAAAUAAUCUCCAAGCAAGUGCAAUGCCUAGAAACAAAUUCUAAUCCUUUAUGCAAUUGUAUACACUCAUACGAGGAAUUAAGUCUUUGCUGAUGUAGUCCACCGCAAGCCGCACGACACAUCCAUAGGUUUUAGUUAAAUCCAUUGCAUUUGGAAGGAAGAAUGAAGAUAGCCGAGAUGGAAAAAAUAGUCUUGAAGAGCUUGUGUGGAGCAAGUUGUCCCCAAUCAUAUGUCUGAUAAAGUUUUAUCCACAUUGUAACAAUCAGUAAGAAAGUUUUUCUUGGGAA